AUCAUUUAGUAAAGCACAAUCAUCACGAACAAAGCUUCAACUUCUCUCGUUCAUCUAAUUAAGAAAAGUAUGGCAAUCGCAAUUUAGAUGACUGAUUGGAGGUUGCUUUGCUUAUCGGGUAAAUUAAGUUUUUGAAGAACAAGCAAAGGAAAGACGUACAAUUGUUCAGAGAAAAAAGCUUCCUUCAAUCUUAGCUUUCCUCACCAACAUCCUUACCCAGAAUUUGUUGUUCAUGAUGUUCAAAGGAGAUUAAAUGUGUUCGUAUCAAGAACACAAGCGCUCUCUGUAAGCCAAAAAGAUCAAUGCCUAACGGGAAACCCCAACGAAGAUUACUGGCGGUGCUAUCUCGAAUGGUACAACAACCGCCAAUGCUUAGCUAACUGCUCCAUCAGCUUCGAACAAGGAAACCUCUACGGAAAAGGUAGUCGAAUUUACAAAGUCAUGGAUUCCUCUGACAAUGACAUGGCUAACCCCAAACCGGGGAUGCUCUGACACGUUGUCAUCCAAGAUGAACCCCUCUGGAUCAUCUUCUCGGCCAACAUGGUGAUCAAACUCAAACAUGAACUCAUUUUCAACUAUUACAAGGUUAUCGACGGGAAUGGAGGGGAGGAGAAAAGUGGAGGAAUGAUGCAUAAUGUCCAUGGCUAACGUGCGUAGAAGAGGAGAGAGUGCACAUGGCUUUGGAAAGUGAAAAGGGAGUAAUGAAAGAAUUCACGUGGUUUUGGGGUUGUUAUUAAAGUGAGAACGGAAAAUUACAAGAUUGUACAUGUUCGUUAGAAAAAGAUCGGAAGCUAGAGAUCAAGUUGGUGAGCUGGAAUUCAAGAGUAAUAUGUUGGGUUUUGUUGAUGUCCUGAGUCUGAUUCCGAAGUUCGUCUUGCCAAAUUUGA